GUGGGCGUAGCUCAGUUGGUAGAGCACGGGAUUGUGACUCCCGUUGUCGUGGGUUCGANNUCCCGUUGUCGUGGGUUCGAUCCCCAUCGUCCACCCCA
rnacentral:tRNA from 1 species